rnacentral:rRNA from 1 species
UACGAAGGGGGCUAGCGUUGUUCGGAAUUACUGGGCGUAAAGCGCACGUAGGCGGACUAUUAAGUCAGGGGUGAAAUCCCGGGGCUCAACCCCGGAACUGCCUUUGAUACUGGUAGUCUCGAGUCCGGAAGAGGUGAGUGGAAUUCCGAGUGUAGAGGUGAAAUUCGUAGAUAUUCGGAGGAACACCAGUGGCGAAGGCGGCUCACUGGUCCGGUACUGACGCUGAGGUGCGAAAGCGUGGGGAACAAACAGG